rnacentral:rRNA from 1 species
UACGUAGGGUGCGAGCGUUGUCCGGAAUUAUUGGGCGUAAAGGGCUCGUAGGCGGUUUGUCGCGUCGGGAGUGAAAUCCACUGGCUUAACUGGUGGCUUGCUUUCGAUACGGGCAGACUGGAGGUAUGCAGGGGAGAACGGAAUUCCUGGUGUAGCGGUGAAAUGCGCAGAUAACAGGAGGAACACCGGUGGCGAAGGCGGUUCUCUGGGCAUGUCCUGACGCUGAGGAGCGAAAGCGUGGGGAGCGAACAGG